GGGCAGGUGGUGGAAUGGUAUACACGCGGCACUUAAAAUGCCGUGCCGCAAGGCUUGUGGGUUCGAGUCCCACUCUGCCCACCA
rnacentral:tRNA from 1 species